GAAAAGGCAGGGUGUUGUGCUCUCUACUAGCAGUGCCCCCGUAAACUUUAGGGACACCAUUUCAUCGUUAUUGGGUGAACCUCCGGAGUUCGGACUCUUUCAUGUGUUGGACGAACAUGUCCGUUGGUUCAGUAAAUGAUGGCACAUUU